CGGUGACCUUUGAGGAUGUGGUCGUGAACUUCAGCAAUGAGGAGUGGACUUUGCUGAGUCCAUCCCAAAAGAACCUCUACAGAGAUGUGAUGGGCGAAACCGUUAGGAACAUGACUGCAAUUGGAGGAUUUGGGGAUAUCCAGGAAGCUGAAAAAGAAUGCAAAAUUUACUGGAGAUACUUAAGUGUUAUUUGAAAGCUUCCUCAGGAUCUGUUGAAAAUCCCCUUCUAUGCUUGGAGCUACUGAGACUCUGACACCGCACUACCCCAAGCCAUUGGGCCUACAGAACCAGUGGCCCUCCGCUGCCUGCUCAGAACUCCGCAGUUCCAGACAAGCUGGGCCUCAGGGACACUGUGCGCCCACCUGCCCCUUGGAAGAUCCACAGCUCUUCAAUCGCAGCCGGGUUAGGGUGCUCACCACAGGCCACGGUGCCUCAGGAGCCUGUGAUCCCUCCCUGCUUGCAGAGAUAUCCACAGUCCUCUAGGCAAAGGAAGGGACUUCUGCAGGCACUCCAGAUCCGCCCAGCUCCUCCUCUGCAGCCAGAUGGCUAGGCGUGGCUGUCUCAGGGGUUAGUGUAGGCCCGCCCAUCCGUCAGGAGCUCAGCAGACUUCCAAGUGUAGCCGGGAGGGAUGGGGGGAGGUGGCUCUAGUGGCCUCUAACCCACUGCUCCACUUCACUGCACCCAGAAGCCUGGGGGGUCCAGAACAGUCUGAGAUUUGGGCAGACUGUGCUGGGCACUCACCACAGGCUGAGGUGCCUCAGGAACCUGCGAUCCCUCCCUGCUUGUAGAAGUAUUCAGUCCUUCAGACAAAGGAACGGGCUUCUGCAGGCACUCUGGAUCCGCCCAGCUCCUCCUCUCGGAAUGGUUCUUUUCAACAUGUCUUACAAGGCCAUUCUGUUACUUCAUGGUCACAAUUUCUUAGCAGACAUUAAAAACAGAACUUGACAUUAAUGCAGUCAUUAAACUGAGACCCAUUUUACUGUGAAUUUUUUCUUUUUUUUAUUUAAUGUAAGGAAAGACUAAAAAAUCAGUAGAAAUGAUACCACUUUCAAAGUGAAAAUAAACAGUAAGAAAUCUAAAUACAAUGAUUACAUAUGCUGCUCAUAGAAAUAGUUAAUGAAACAAAAAAGUGAAACAUAUGAAGUGG